rnacentral:rRNA from 1 species
UACAGAGGGUGCAAGCGUUAAUCGGAAUUACUGGGCGUAAAGCGCGCGUAGGUGGUUUGUUAAGUUGAAUGUGAAAUCCCCGGGCUCAACCUGGGAACUGCAUCCAAAACUGGCAAGCUAGAGUAGGGCAGAGGGUGGUGGAAUUUCCUGUGUAGCGGUGAAAUGCGUAGAUAUAGGAAGGAACACCAGUGGCGAAGGCGACCACCUGGGCUCAUACUGACACUGAGGUGCGAAAGCGUGGGGAG